rnacentral:piRNA from 1 species
UAACACAAGGAAAGCUGCUCAGAC